UACGUACACCUGCUUCCAGAGAAAAGACUAGUCAAAGCUAGUCUCGCGCAGCCAGCCCCGGAUGUUUUCUAUUUGAACGCUAGGUCGAUAACAUGGCCUAUUUUAAUCGGGGAUGGUGCGAGACUACGUCAAAGCUGGACUAGUAGAUCUGCGAGCACUUCUUUCAGGUGCUAGCUAGAUGGAAUCGUGGUCCUGUCAGUUGUUUUGUUUAGGAACCAUUGGGGAUUGACAGUGUUCAAAGGGAAGUUGGCAAUUCUCUUCUGAAAGUCUUGCACAGUGAUUGAGAUCUGUUUGUCACUAAGUGCAGCACAGAGCUCCCGUACAAUGAAGCUGAUUACUUCACUACUCGACUACUUCACUACCCAACUACUUCACUACUCAACUACUUCACUACCCAACUACUUCACUACCCAACUACUUCACUACCCAACUACUUCACUACCCGACUACUUCACUACCCGACUACUUCACUACCCAACUACUUCACUACUUCACUACCCAACUACUUCACUACCCAACUACUUCACUACCCAACUACUUCACUACUUCACUACCCAACUACUUCACUACCCAACUACUUCACUACUCGACUACUUGACUACCCAACUACUUGACUACCCAACUACUUGACUAUCCAACUACCCAACUACUUCACUACCCAACUACCCAACUACUUCACUACUUCACUACCCAACUACUUCACUACUCAACUACCCAACUACUUCACUACCCUGCAACUACCUAGCUACUGCACUACCCAACUACUUCACUAUACCUAACUACUCGACUACUUGACUACCCAACUACCUAUAGCUACUCCACUACCCAACUAUAUAACUACUCGACUAUACCAACUGAACUACCUGGCUACUACCCAACUAAGUCUUAAAUGCUCAAACUACUCAGUUGGCUAUACCAUAGAUAGACACUCAGCAUAUACGUAUAUACGUGACCGCCCACCCUAGAUAUAUACUUUUUUUUACAUGUGACCUCAACUAGAGUCUACUCAGUUCUUUCCUCAUUCACUGAAAAUCGGCUGUCUUUGUUGACUACAACAUUACUGGCUACCAAUGGUAGUCAAAAGCUUGUCAUUUAACAAUCGUGCCAUAUCUAGGCUUGUGCACUUUCUACACAAAAUGUAUUUAUGUUAGGCAACUUGAACACCUGCAGAACCGUUUGAGUCAGUUAUACCUUCACUUCCUGCUGCUCCUGUGUGCCCUGUAUCUUUCUCUGGGUCUAGUAAGCCUCCUUUCCCUCUUUUUAGCUGUUUUUAAGGAUCCGCUAUUCAUAUCUUUAUCGAGUCACGUAGAAAUUGGUAAAGGAUCACGAGUCACAAAACAAAUAUCGUAUGCCGGUCCACGACAGACAUACAUACAUACAUACACCACCCCAUCCGGACCACGUGCAUGACUAACUAAGGGACUCGCUUCGCUCGCCCCAAUUAUCUAUACAUUAGGGUGAUGCAAGCGCCAUGGGGCAAGCGAUGCAUCCAACUCUGCUGAAAGAUAUUGUGCAAAUGACACCACAUCUUGUGGCAGGUUGAUGACAUGACCUGCGUAUUCAUAUUGUCCAAGUGGUAAUCGAUAGAUGGACAUUAUUGGCAUGCAUGACUGCAGAUAUAAACAGCAUCUUGGAUUGAACAGCAGAUUGUUCAAAUAGAGGCAUGUCAGGAUUCACUCUGUAUGCCUAUGCCUGCAUAUAUUGCUUCAAGCGUGCCUGUGUGGCCUCUGUAAGUGUAAUGAACAUUUAAUAAUGUUUGGCCACUUUCUGCUGGCUUGUGCGCUUUCUACACAACGUUUAUUUAUUUUAGGCAAACACCGUUUGAGUCAGUUACCUUCAUUUCCUGCUGCUCUUGUAUACCCUGUAUCUUUCUCUGGGUCUAGCAAGCCUCCUUUCCCUCUUUUUAGCUGUUUCUGAGGAUCCUCCUUAUCGCUAGAGUAAAGUAUCAAUCACCGGACGUCAUCAUAUGUCGGACACCGAUAUCGUCAAAACUACAAAAGAUACAGACACGAUUCAAAGACCAUUUUAAAGCUAAUCUGAAAGAAAACGCUGUCCGGUGGUAGCGAUGUCAGACCGAUUUUCAUUUUUGCUAUUUCUAACUCCUAUGUAUUACUAUCUCUUUUGAACACUCUAGGCAAACCAGAAAAACUUUACUGCACUGGAUUUGGUCAAGCGAAUGCAGAGAUACAGCGUUUUGAAGAACACUAGUCAGGGAAAAAUUCGUACAAAAAUUUACCGCAUUUUAAUGUACUUGGGCGGGACUUAUGAAAUUUGUUGUUAAUACCGGAAAUGAUCUUAAAGUUAGCAUAUCUGCUGAACCGCUUGGUCUAUUCUCUUUUAAAAAAGUAUGAAAUGGACACUCAGGACUCAGGAGUUAACAUUGUAACCAUUUGAUAUCUAUUAUGAAGUUUAUAAUGUUUCUGUAAUGUAUAUCUUUAUGAUGUCCCUAUAAUAGUAUGAUGUCUCCUGCUUCAGAGAGUUCUUUUGGAUUUAAAGUAACCAUGCUAUCUUUUCAGUAUAUUGUAUCAUGUUUCAGAACUCUCAUCAAUGUUCACCUUACGCUGGUAUCUGUUUCUUGAUCUUUAUAAGCAACUUUUCUGUCAAUUUCAUUUGGUCUAAAUAAUUCGUUUUUAGUGUGA